UUUCGGGAACAAACAUUGCAUCUAAAAAAUUUGGACCAUACAACCUUCUGAGUAACAUUUAACAGAAAAGUUGGAGUGAGAUGGAAUUGUCAUACGAGGCAGACUCAGCUGAGGGCGAUUGACAGACCUUGAAGCAUUAUGACGUUCGUUUCAUCAGGCUUGGAAACCACGUUUCAUUUUCGUGAAGCAAUGGCGUUUAUCAACAUGGGUAUACUCUCAUACAUGGUAUUGUGGAGAUAUUUUAAUUGUGAAGAACCUCAGUGGACACCAUUGCACUGGAUAUUUGGAAAGCCACGUAAUGUUUGUCCUACCGUUGUAGAUUUAUUGCAGACAUUGGCACUGUACUUUCUUUUGUCCGCUGUAGUCUUCUGUAUGGUGUUGAAGAUUCUGCUAUGGUUGAGAAAAAGCUACAUGUACUUACAAAU